GCUCUUAUAUGGUAAAUUUGCUUCUGUGGCCUGAGUCCAGAACACAUCCUAGUCUUCUCUGGAGAGAAGCAGAGUCAGGGGAAGGAAGAGAUUUUGUAAUGUGGACAGUGUUCAGUGUUCAUUGCUGAGGAAUCGAGAGUCAGUUUGCAUUCGUCAUGGGCGGAGGACCCCGCAGCUGGUGGAAGGCCAGCAGCAGUGUAAAGUUCAAUUAUUUAGCUCUUCCCACCAUGUGAGGCUACCCCAACCCCUGGCAAGGCUUGUGUCCCACGUGAUAUCGAAUAGCCAAACACCUGCUCCUAGAAGCAAUCUGUGGACAGAGCUUGCAAAGGUCCGUGAAUCACUGUUGCAAACAGGGGAGAGGUCAAAGCAAAAGGAAGCACCGUGGGUGGAUGUGGCAGCUUUCCUCUCCUACAGAUCCUCUGGAUGAAAAGUGCAGGCAGGGGGUGAUGACAGAAGCCAAGCACAGACGACAUUCCCGCCACAGCCCAGGAAAAAGACGUGUGAAUGAAGAACCCUUGAAAUUGACCCCAGCUGUAGGCACUCGCCACACUUGCCUCAAUCUCCUGGGAGACCCGGAGUCAGACUAG
rnacentral:lncRNA from 13 species